AUUGAACGCUGGCGGCAGGCCUAACACAUGCAAGUCGAACGGUAACAGGAAGCAGCUUGCUGCUUUGCUGACGAGUGGCGGACGGGUGAGUAAUGUCUGGGAAACUGCCUGAUGGAGGGGGAUAACUACUGGAAACGGUAGCUAAUACCGCAUAACGUCGCAAGACCAAAGAGGGGGACCUUCGGGCCUCUUGCCAUCGGAUGUGCCCAGAUGGGAUUAGCUAGUAGGUGGGGUAACGGCUCACCUAGGCGACGAUCCCUAGCUGGUCUGAGAGGAUGACCAGCCACACUGGAACUGAGACACGGUCCAGACUCCUACGGGAGGCAGCAGUGGGGAAUAUUGCACAAUGGGCGCAAGCCUGAUGCAGCCAUGCCGCGUGUAUGAAGAAGGCCUUCGGGUUGUAAAGUUCUUUCAGCGGGGAGGAAGGGAGUAAAGUUAAUACCUUUGCUCAUUGACGUUACCCGCAGAAGAAGCACCGGCUAACUCCGUG
rnacentral:rRNA from 1 species